GAUGAAGAACGUAGCGAAAUGCGAUACUUGGUGUGAAUUGCAGAAUCCCGUGAACCAUCGAGUCUUUGAACGCAAGUUGCGCCCGAAGCCAUUAGGCCGAGGGCACGCCUGCCUGGGCGUCACACGUCGUUGCCCCCCCAUCUACUCCUUCGGGAUUGCGGGGGGCGGAUGAUGGCCUCCCGUGCGCCUCGUCGCGCGGUUGGCAUAAAUGCCAAGUCCUCGGCGACGCACGCCACGACAAUCGGUGGUUGCGAAACCUCGGUUGCCCGUCGUGUGCGGUCGUCGCGCAUCGAGGGCUCGAAAAAAUUGUCGGGCUCCGGCUCGGCUUUCAACGCGACCCCCAGGUCAGGCGGGGUUACCCGCUGAAUUUAAGCAUAUCAAUAAGCGGAGGA
rnacentral:misc_RNA from 1 species